AAAAAGAUAAAAACACAAUAGAUAAGCAAAUAUAGGUCAUUAUAUAUAUUUAUUUAUGUUGUGAAGUGUCAAUUCACAGCAGAUUGUUGUUAUUUGCAGAAAUAAUUAAUGACAGAUGUAUUAGGCUCCACAUUUAUCUCUUUAGAAUCAGUACCAUUUCAGGUAAGUUCCAGUAUUUAUCUUUACGUACAACAAAUAUUAUUGUGUUGUCUGUAGUUUCAAAUCCAUGGAUCUAGCUACGGAUGCAGUCCAAAUUGAUGAGGACCAAGCAAACAACUUACUCAACAGUGUGCUGGGAUCCUAAAGGGAAUUUCCAUCCUACUUGUGUGGCUGAAUGACAUCUUCAACCAAUUUUGGUACAUUUGCCAGAAAGCACAACAUCGUGAUAUGUUUAAUGACAUGUGGGUGGGUGUGCUUCACCAUGUCACAGGGAAGCAUGAAUGGACCCGUGGCAAAUGUGACCAUGGACCACUUGAUGCAACGUGGCAUGGUGCCAGGAUCUCCACCACACGAGGCUCUUCAAUGAAUCAUCUUCAACAGACGCUGGGUGAAGGAUGCCACCAAUCUGACCUUUAGGUAUAUUAAUAACAUUUUCAUAAGCAAAAAAGCUAAAGUGUCAAUAUCAAAGCUGAAAAUUUACAUAUAGAAAUGACAAUUGUGGGUGAAAAGGCAAUCAAAAGUGUGAUUCCUAAUAAUCUAUAAAGUUGUAGCUUUUGUUUUUUUACA